AUUGAACGCUGGCGGGAUGCCUUACACAUGCAAGUCGAACGAGUGGCGGACGGGUGGGUAAUAUAUCGGAACGUGCCCAGUAGCGGGGGAUAACUACUCGAAAGAGUGGCUAAUACCGCACACUAUUGCAUCGGCCGAUAUCGGAUUAGCUAGGUGGGGGGGUAAAGGCUCACAAAGGCAACGAUCCGUAGCUGGUUUGAGAGGAAGACCAGCCACACUGGGACUGAGACACGGUCCAGACUCAUACGGGAGGCAGCAGUGGGGAAUUUGGGACAAUGGGGGAAACCCUGAUCCAGCCAUCCCGCGUGUAUGAGAAGGUCUUCGGGUUGUAAAGUACUUUUGGCAGAGAGGCGGUAUCUGCAGAAUAAGCACCGGCUAACUACGUGCCAGCAGCCGCGGUAAUAC
rnacentral:rRNA from 1 species